rnacentral:rRNA from 1 species
GACGAACGCUGGCGGCGUGCCUAACACAUGCAAGUCGAACGGAAAGGCCCUUCGGGGUACUCGAGUGGCGAACGGGUGAGUAACACGUGGGCGAUCGGCCCUGCACCUUGGGAUAAGCCUGUGAAACUGGGUCUAAUUCCCAAUAUGAUCAUCGUCUUCAGAGUCGGUGGGGGAAAGCUUUUGCGGUGUGGGAUGGGCCCGCGGCCGAUCAGCUUGUUGGUGGGGUAAGGGCCUACCAAGGCGACGACGGGUAGCCGGCCUGAGAGGGGGACCGGCCACACUGGGACUGAGAUACGGCCCAGACUCCUACGGGAGGCAGCAGUGGGGAAUAUUGCACAAUGGGCGCAAGCCUGAUGCAGCGACGCCGCGUGAGGGAUGACGGCCUUCGGGUUGUAAACCUCUUUCAGCACAGACGAAGCGAAAGUGACGGUAUGUGCAGAAGAAGCACCGGCCAACUACGUG